GUAAAACUGUAAUCGAGGCUCAACUGCUUCGAUUCAUCAAGUUUGUUCCAGACACGAGUGAUUAAAUUGUAUGUUUAAAGUAUCUCUUUUGUCUCGUAGAAUUAUAAACCACCAGGAGCGAAGGAUAUCCCUGAAGACUUUCGCGUAUCUUUGCUUAAGAACUCGGUCAACACGUUCGGUGUUCUUCGUUCAAAAGCAACUGGAGAACCACCGUUGUGCAUGAGUUGCGCAAUUCCGAUCGCGAUUCGCAAUGCAUUGAACUCCGCUAGGGCUGAGGCAGGGAAUACGGAAGUGUGGUUUCAAUUAGAUACACCAUGCACCACUGAACGCAUACUUCUAGGCAGUUUAACCAACAAGAAUAACAUGGUGCUUUAAGAGCGAAAGUAGGAGUCGUUCAUGAAUAAACCAGUAUUUCAAAUCAAUUCUAUAA